AUUGAACGCUGGCGGCAGGCCUAACACAUGCAAGUCGAACGAGUGGCGGACGGGUGAGUAAUGUCUGGGACACUGCCCGAUGGAGGGGGAAAACUACUGGAAACGGUAGCUAAUCCCGCAUACCAUCGGAUGUGCCGAGAUGGGAUUAGCUAGUAGGUGGGGUAACGGCUCACCUAGGCGACGAUCCCUAGCUGGUCUGAGAGGAUGACCAGCCACACUGGAACUGAGACACGGUCCAGACUCCUACGGGAGGAAGCAGUGGGGAAUAUGGCACAAUGGGCGCAAGCCUGAUGCAGCCAUGCCGCGUGUAUGAAGAAGGCCUUCGGGUUGUAAAGUACUUUCAGCGGGGAGGCGUUACCCGCAGAAGAAGCACCGGCUAACUCCGUGCCAGCAGCCGCGGUAAUAC
rnacentral:rRNA from 1 species